CUGCAAUAGGGAUAGAAACGGAAACCCCGGAAAAAGCGUUGGGAAAGAAAUGGCUUGAGGAGUUGCAGUGUAUAGCCCGACCCGAG
rnacentral:misc_RNA from 1 species